rnacentral:rRNA from 1 species
GUGCCAGCCGCCGCGGUAAUACGGAGGGUGCAAGCGUUAAUCGGAAUUACUGGGCGUAAAGGGCACGCAGGUGGCUUGGCAAGUCGGAUGUGAAAGCCCCGGGCUUAACUUGGGAAUUGCAUUCGAUACUGCCGAGCUAGAGUAUGGGAGAGGAAAGCGGAAUUCCCGGUGUAGCGGUGAAAUGCGUAGAUAUCGGGAGGAACAUCAGUGGCGAAGGCGGCUUUCUGGCCCAAUACUGACACUCAUGUGCGAAAGCGUGGGGAGCAAACAGGAUUAGAUACCCCGGUAGUCC